rnacentral:rRNA from 1 species
GAACGGGUGAGUAACACGUAUCCAAUCUACCCUUAAGUUGGGGAUAACUAGUCGAAAGAUUAGCUAAUACCGAAUAAUAACAUCAAUAUCGCAUGAGAAGAUGUAGAAAGUCGCUCUUUGUGGCGACGCUUUUGGAUGAGGGUGCGACGUAUCAGAUAGUUGGUGAGGUAAUGGCUCACCAAGUCAAUGACGCGUAGCUGUACUGAGAGGUAGAACAGCCACAAUGGGACUGAGACACGGCCCAUACUCC